rnacentral:rRNA from 1 species
AGCAAUGCCGCGUGAUUGAAGAAGAUCUUCGGAUCGUAAAGAUCUGUUAUUAGGGAAGAAUGGAAUUGAUAGGAAAUGAUCAAUUUAUGACGGUGCCUAAUGAGGAAGCCCCGGCUACCUAUGUGCCAGCAGCCGCGGUAAUACAUAGGGGGCGAGCGUUAUCCGGAAUUAUUGGGCGUAAAGGGUACGUAGGCGGGCCUGCAAGUCUGAUUUGAAAGCACACGGCUUAACCGUGUGAGGUAAUUAGAAACUGCAGGUCUAGAGAGUGGUAGAGGUAAAUGGAAUUCCAAGUGGAGCGGUGAAAUGCGUAGAGAUUUCGAGGAACACCAGUGGCGAAGGCGGUUUACUGGGCCACAUCUGACGCUGAUGUACGAAAGCCUAAAAGGAGACAGGCUUUGUUUCCCUGGUAGUUCCACGCCCCCUUAAAAAGGGGGGGCUAAGUAUCGGUAGAUUCGGUGCUUAAGCUAACGCAGUAAGCACUCCGCCUGGGGAGUACGGUCGCAAGACUGAAACUCAAAGGAAUUGACGGGGACUCGCACAAGCGGUGGAGCAUGCGGUUUAAUUCGAUGCAACGCGAAGAACCUUACCAGGUCUUGACAGUGUAAAGAAUACUUAAGAGAUUAAGGGCUAAGAAUUAAGCUUGCUUAUUUCACUUUAUAAACAGGUGGUGCAUGGUUGUCGUCAGCUCGUGUCGUGAGAUGUUGGGUUAAGUCCCGCAACGAGCGCAACCCUUAUUGCUAGUUGCCAUCAUUAAGUUGGGCACUCUAGCAAGACUGCCGGUGACAAAUCGGAUGAAGGUGGGGAUGACGUCAAAUCAUCAUGCCCCUAUGACCUGGGCUACACGCGUGCUACAAUGGCUAAUACAAAGAGUUGCAAAACCGUGAGGUAGAGCUAAUCUCAUAAAGUUAGUCUCAGUUCGGAUUGUAGUCUGCAACUCGACUACAUGAAGUUGGAAUCGCUAGUAAUCGUAAAUCAGAAUGUUACGGUGAAUUCGUUC